UACGGAGGGGGCUAGCGUUGUUCGGAAUUACUGGGCGUAAAGCGCACGUAGGCGGGCUGGAAAGUUGGGGGUGAAAUCCCGGGGCUCAACCCCGGAACUGCCCUCAAAACUUUCAGUCUGGAGUCCGAGAGAGGUGAGUGGAAUUCCGAGUGUAGAGGUGAAAUUCGUAGAUAUUCGGAGGAACACCAGUGGCGAAGGCGGCUCACUGGCUCGGUACUGACGCUGAGGUGCGAAAGCGUGGGGAGCAAACAGG
rnacentral:rRNA from 1 species